rnacentral:misc_RNA from 1 species
CAAGCUAACACGACCAAAACUAUAUAAAUACCUUAACCUUAUGUCCUAAACAUAGUCUUUUUCCCCUUCAUUUUCUCUUCAAGAAAACUCUAGCCCUUUUCAUAUUAGAGGAUUUGAAUCAAAACCCACAAAUUGAAAAAUCUUUUUUCACAUUUAUUUGGUCACCAUGAAAAGAGGUUUUCAUGAAGCAGAGCUUGAUAGUAUAACCAUGGCGAAUUGCUUGAUGCUUCUAUCCCAAGGGAGGGAAACGCAAUUUCCUUCCUUUGAAGCUAUCAAAAAUAGUGGGGUUAUUAAUUCCCCUAGUCGUGUUUUUGAGUGCAAGACAUGUAACAGGCAGUUUCCUUCCUUUCAAGCCCUAGGCGGCCACCGUGCUAGCCACAAGAAGCCUAGGUUGAUGGGCGCUGGUGGAGAUGGGAGCUCUGAUACUCAGUCGUCUUCUUCUUCAACUCCAGCGAAGCCUAAAACCCAUGAAUGUUCUAUUUGUGGAUUAGAGUUUGCCAUAGGGCAAGCCUUGGGAGGUCACAUGAGGAGGCAUAGAGCUGCCCUGAAUGAUCAAAGCAGCUUGCAGGGUCAUGAUGAUCCUUUGAGUCAUCCGACAAGUUGUAGUGCACAAGUGGCGGUGCCUCCUAUUGUGAAGAAAUCUAGGGUUUUGUGCUUGGAUUUGAACUUGACUCCAUAUGAGAAUGAUCUGGAGUUGUUUAGGCAUGGCAGCAAGGCAGCUCCCAUGGUUAUUGAUUGUUUCUUGUAGAUCAUCUUAAUUACAUGUAAAUAAAUCUCAGAAAUAUACCCUUAUAG